rnacentral:rRNA from 1 species
UGCCAGCAGCCGCGGUAAUAGGGAGGAUGCAGGCGUUAUCCGGAUUUAUUAGGUUUAAAGGGUGUCUAGGCUGCCACAUAAGUCAGAGGUGAAAGUCGGUUGCUCAACAAUCGAAUUGCCUUUGAAACUGUGUGGCUCGAAUAUAGAUGAGGUAGGCGGAAUGUGUAGUGUAGCGGUGAAAUGCAUAGAUAUUACACAGAACACCGAUAGCGAAGGCAGCUUACUAAACUGAUACUGACGCUGAGGCACGAAAGCGUGGGGAGCGAACAGGAUUAGAUA